CUCUAUUCGUUCAGACUCUGAGCGACUUGCAAACUUGGGCGAUGGCGUUACCGCACUAUUGGGCCCCUUAUUUGGGCAUUCACCUUGAUUCGUUCAAUUGGAUUUCGUUCUUUGGGCUAUCUGAUUUGGGGACCCUCCAAUUGGACUUUAUUCUCUGGGCUGUUCGAUUUGGGCUGAAUUUUUAUGUGUCAACAAUUACCCCCCAAUAUGGCAGAAUUAAUAAUAACUAUUGAAUUUUGCCAUAUUCACUUCACGUCUUCAGCAACAUUCACGAUCCCCAAAGAAUUUUAAUCAUUGUCUCCUUCUAUAACUUGAAAAGGUGCGUCGCUUUGCAAACCCUUAUAAACUCCGAACACGCCAUUUUACUGCUACGAAAUCACGUUUCAUAUUUCUUACGCAUCCUUCGCGAUUCACUGUUCAUAUUUUGCUUCCUUGUUACGUAACUCUGAAAAGCUUCGUUCCUUCUUCAAUGGCUGCUUUACAAUCCCAAGCUAGCGAUUCCUUUAGUUUUGACGACUUUCAGGAACUUCUGAGUCGUUCAUACGUAACCCCAAGUUUUCUUGCGCCCGCUGAUGUUGGACGUAAUGAGUUUUACUUGGGUCCUUUCUUCAACAAUGCGGAAGCAAUCGAUCAGGCGGCGGUGGGCCAGCUGUUUCCUUGCACCCAUGGCCCUCCUUUUCUGAAUUCUUUGCCGCUGGGGCCACUUCGUGAAAAAGGUAUUCGCACUUGGCCCAAAUCUGACGUAGCUUUUCGUAGGUGGCAUGCUCGUCUUGUGGGUCAUGGUCCUACUAAGGCACUUUUUGAUAGCGCUAGGAUUUCUGAUUUGUUGGAAGUCUCUAUUCGCCCCCCUACUUUUGAUUUAGCGCUCUUUCCGAUUGCUUUGAGCUUUUGGUCCUCUGAGUAUAACACCUUUAUUUUUCCUCUUGGCCCCAUGUCUAUUACGUUAAGGGAUGUUGGGGCUCUGGUAAAUUUACCACCUUUGGGUGAUACCGUUUUCCCAGGCAUCUUAGUUUCUGGUGGCGCCCCUCAGUUCGGUAAAAACUAUACCGAUUCUUAUUCAAGCCUGCAGACACUGCACAAUCACUCGAGUGCUGAACCUACUCAUGCUGAGCGAGUGGCCUUCCUUUUACUCUGGCUUUGUAAAUAUGUGUUGUGCGUGCCUAGUAUAAAG
rnacentral:lncRNA from 1 species